rnacentral:rRNA from 1 species
UACGAAGGGUGCAAACGUUGCUCGGAAUUAUUGGGCGUAAAGCGCACGUAGGCGGCUUAGCAAGUCGGAAGUGAAAUCCCACGGCUCAACCAUGGAAGUGCUUUCGAAACUGCUGAGCUUGAGUACUUAAGAGGAUCGCGGAAUUCCCGGUGUAGAGGUGAAAUGCGUAGAUAUCCGGAGGAACACCGGUGGCGAAGGCGGCUUCCUGGACCGACACUGACGCUGAGGCGCGAAAGCUAGGGGAGCAAACGGG